rnacentral:rRNA from 1 species
GAUGAACGCUGGCGGCGUGCCUAAUACAUGCAAGUCGAGCGAACAGACGAGGAGCUUGCUCCUCUGACGUUAGCGGCGGACGGGUGAGUAACACGUGGAUAACCUACCUAUAAGACUGGGAUAACUUCGGGAAACCGGAGCUAAUACCGGAUAAAAUAUUGAACCGCAUGGUUCAAUAGUGAAAGACGGUUUUGCUGUCACUUAUAGAUGGAUCCGCGCCGCAUUAGCUAGUUGGUAAGGUAACGGCUUACCAAGGCAACGAUGCGUAGCCGACCUGAGAGGGUGAUCGGCCACACUGGAACUGAGACACGGUCCAGACUCCUACGGGAGGCAGCAGUAGGGAAUCUUCCGCAAUGGGCGAAAGCCUGACGGAGCAACGCCGCGUGAGUGAUGAAGGUCUUCGGACCGUAAAACUCUGUUAUUAGGGAAGAACAAAUGUGUAAGUAACUAUGCACGUCUUGACGGUACCUAAUCAGAAAGCCACGGCUAACUACGUG